rnacentral:rRNA from 1 species
UACGAAGGGGGCUAGCGUUGUUCGGAAUUACUGGGCGUAAAGGGCGCGUAGGCGGUACUUCAAGUCAGGCGUGAAAGCCCCGGGCUCAACCUCGGAACUGCCUUCGAUACUGCGGGUCUCGAGUCCGGGAGAGGUGAGUGGAAUUCCUAGUGUAGAGGUGAAAUUCGUAGAUAUUGGGAAGAACACCGAUGGCGAAGGCGGCGACCUGGUCCAUUACUGACGCUGAGGCGCGACAGCGUGGGGAGCAAACAGG